rnacentral:lncRNA from 1 species
GGGGGAUAUGAACAGGGCGGGACCUAAGUUGACCAAUCGAAGCAUACUAUAGCUUCCGGACCCUAUUGGAUUGGCUGUUGAUACCUAGCAGUGUACCUAGCAUGAUUGGUAGCUUGCUAGGACCCUCAUGAGGGUGAAGCUAGCGUGGCUAUCCAAAUGAUCAUGUUCAGUGGAUAUCCCCCCGACACUGCCAGUCCCCCUGUCCACACUUUAGAAGAGGAGGAGGGCUUCAGACAACGCACUAACCUGCCAGGAUAGCACGGUCACAGUAGGGUGGUUAACUACCUACAUUUCCCCAAAGAGUGUCCGGAGUGCCACACACACAGAAGAGGAUUUACAAUCUUCUGAUGUGGACAUCGCAUCUCAACUAUGAGAGGAGAAACAGAACAGAGCAGGAGUAACACGGUUCUGUCAGUUUCACAUCGGUUCCACCAUGAUUAGAACCGGCUGGAGUCUGGGUUCUCUCUCUUUUGCCAGUCAGACCUCGGUAGAACUCAACUCUAGUUUGGACGGUUCUGCCAGAACCUACGGUCUGAGCUGUGCGUUUUGUGAUGAUGUGUUCAGUGUGUGUGUGUGUGUGAUCGAGUUGUGUUAGACGAUAUGAGGCAUUAAUAUUCGCUCUCAGCCAUCUGUGUGUUUGGGUCUGCCAUUGUGUGUACUUGAACAGUACUACGUUGAACAGCACGAGCGGCCAUGUUUGCUUCUAAAUGUCAGCCUGUCCCAGACGAGGCUUGAACACAUAGUGGAAUGCAAUGUCUUGCAUUUAAAGAAAAGACAUCCAUGUCCUCAGUAAAGAUUGAGGUUUUAGACUGGGUUUCUGUAUAGCACUUUGUGACAUCUGCUGAUAUAAAAAAGGGCUUUAUAAAUACAUUUAAUUGAUUGAUUGAGGAGAGACUGCUGGAAACUGUUACACUGUUAACAUGUUGUUCUCUUCAGGGAAAACUUGACCUCUGCAAUUUGUCAAUGCUAUGGGUCAGCAAAUGCGAUGUCAUGUCCACACUGUAAUAUGCAUGACAUGACAUUGUCCUUUCUUGAGUCACUGAGGUGUGGUUGGCUAGUAACUAAAUGUAAAUCCAGUCUCUCACUCACUCGCUCCCACGCACGCACGCACACACACACACACACACUCAUACACACACAGUAGAGGUUGGAUCACACCGUCCUCUAUAUCUAUAGAGGAGGAGGAGGGAAGGACUACUAAAUGGAUGUAGGGAGGGGAGGAGUUGACGGAAUGUAUUAUUUAUUGUUUGAUUAGGGCCUUGUUCUACCCUAUUGUAAUCCUGUUGUUCUGGAGGGCUGACAGAAAAGUGUUUUGCAAAUUCCCUCCCUCCCUCCCUGCGUUGCAUGAUGAAUGUUGCCUUAAGCAGACAGAAGUGAGGUUUAUAAAUGCAUUGUGCCCCGAACAUUUCAAAAUCAAGUUGAGAGGGGAAGAAAAAUUACCUCAGGAAAAUAGCUAAACCUGAGCAAUAAAAAACUCUUAAUCUUACCUUGAAAGCCGCCCGACGAUAGAGGUGGGUGCCUCCCUUUGGAAAGAAAAACAGGACUGCAGAUUAUUUCCAUUUGAAAGAACAUGCCAAAUUACAGAAAUGUGUUUUCAAUCGCUCUCUUUCACAAGCGGCAACAGAUGGAUGGAGGCUGUGCGUGCCUGCAUGUGCGUGUGAGCAGAUUGUGUGUGUGUGUGUCAGCAGAUCAUGUGUGUGAGCAGAUCGUGUGUGUGUGUGUGUGUGUGUGUGUGUGUGUGUGUGUGUGUGUGUGUGUGUGUGUGUGUGUGUGUGUGUGUGUGUGUGUGUGUGUGUGUGUGUGUGUGUGUGUGUGUGUGUGUGUGUGUGUGUGUGAGAGCAGAUCAUGUGUGUGUAUGCUGCUACAUGGAACCAACCAGCAGCCCGCUGCAGCCAACGACUUCCAGUCUCUUCCACAAUCAGAUACAGAAUUAAUAAAUCGACCACAGAGUUCUCAUUCAACAACUCCAAAGACAAGGUCAAUGUAACCAGCUGUAUUGUUAGGUUUCUCAGCCAUCUUCUCUUAUUUGAAUGCCAGCUAUGAAUAUGUAACAUUGGCACUGGUUGGCUUUACUUUUCUGCUGCCUGUUUGGGAGCUUAUUGUCUCUACAAAAGCUAGCUCAGGGCAACAAUCAGUGUCAAGCAACAACGAUCUGUAUCACAUGAAUGAGAUUUAAAAAAACAGGAGACAUUUUUAGAGCUGGUCUUCAAAAAAAGCAACAGUCAGUGACCAGGAUGGUGAACCAGGUCCAGAUAUGGCACACUGACAUGCCAAACAAGAGCAUAUCCUGGAAUGACGAUGACGACAAAGAUGAGGAUGAUGAUCAUGAUGAUGACAACAAUGUUGAUGAUGUGAUGACACACUCCUGUUCCCCAGAGAGAGCGAAGUAAAAACAGCCGGACUGAGCAUCUGCUGCAGUGCAACUUUGAAUCACAUGGAAGGUGAGACCUAUCUGCUGCCUUUGAUACUGUGAACCAUCAGAUCCUCCUCUCCACCCUCUCCGAGUUGGGUAUCUCCGGCGCGGCUCACUCUUGGAUUGCGUCCUACCUGACAGGUCGCUCCUACCAGGUGGCGAAUCGCAUCUCUGCAUGUCUGGCAGACAUAUCAGUGUGGAUGACGGAUCACCACCUCAAGCUGAACCUCGGCAAGACGGAGCUGCUCUUCCUCCCGGGGAAGGACUGCCCGUUCCAUGAUCUCGCCAUCACGGUUGACAACUCCAUUGUGUCCUCCUCCCAGAGUGCUAAGAGCCUUGGCGUGACCCUGGACAACACCCUGUUGUUCUCCGCUAACAUCAAGGCGGUGACCCGAUCCUGGAGGUUCAUGCUAUACAACAUUCGCAGAGUAUGACCCUGCCUUACACAGGAAGUGGCGCAGGUCCUAAUCCAGGCACUUGUCAUCUCCCGUCUGGAUUACUGCAACUCCCUGUUGGCGGGGCUCCCUGCCUGUGCCAUUAAACCCCUACAACUCAUCCAGAACGCCGCAGCCCGUCUGGUGUUCAACCUUCCCAAGUUCUCUCACGUCACCCCGCUCCUCCGCACACUCCACUGGCUUCCAGUUGAAGCUCACAUCUGCUACAAGACCAUGGUGCUUGCCUACGGAGCUGUGAGGGGAACGGCACCUCCGUACCUUCAGGCUCUGAUCAGGCCCUACACCCAAACAAGGGCACUGCGUUCAUCCACCUCUGGCCUGCUGGCCCCCCUACCUCUGCGGAAGCACAGUUCCCGCUCAGCCCAGUCAAAACUGUUCGCUGCCCUGGCACCCCAAUGGUGGAACAACUCCCUCACGACGCCAGGACAGCGGAGUCAAUCACCACCUUCCGUAGACACCUGAAACCCCACCUCUUUAAGGAAUACCUGGGAUAGGAUAUAGUAAUCCUUCUAUAGGCAUGUGUUUGUAUUAGUGUUUUGUGGGAGAUGUUUCUGUGUAUAGCUUCAAGCCUUACAGGACUGUUAUUCGUCGUUGUUUCUUUUUGUGUACGUGUUUAUUUUUGGUUCACCUUCUUUGCCAACUAAAUAAAAAAGAAGAUGAGUGCACAUUUCCCUGCUGCGUCUUGGUCCGCUUUAUCCGACAACAACCGUUACAGAAUCUCCCACCAACCAAGGACCAAGCAGCGGGGUAAGGAGCAAGGGAACAAUUAUAUGGACUAUCAGGGGAAUUGGACAUGGGAGGAAAUUUUGGACGGGGCUGAACCUUGGCAUCAGGCUGGGGAAUACCGUCGCCCACGGGAGGAAAUAGAGGCAGCCAAGGCGGAGAGGCGUCGGUACGAGGCUUUGUAUGCGCUGAGGGAGAAGCACGAGAGGCACCCCCAAUCAUUUUUUUGGGGGGGGCACAUGGGUAGUUUGGCUAGGCCAAGGGUGAGCCCUAAGCCAGCUCCCCGUGCUUUUUGGGAAGGACGUAUGGAGUGGAGAGCGCCUAGGUAUGCGGAAGUACGCACGAUCUUGCCCAUACGCACGCACAGUCUGGUGCGAGUGAUCCCAACCCCUUGCAAAUGCCGUGCUAGAGUGGGCAUCCAGCCUGGUAGGAGGAUGCCUGCGCAGCGCAUCUGGCCACCGGUGCGCCUCCUAGGUCCAGGCUACCCUACGCCCGCUCUACGCACGGCAACCAUCAGGCCCCUGCACAGCCCAGUUCGCCCUGUACUAGCACUCCGCUCGUACAGGGCUACUAGUUCCAUCCAGCCAGGACGGGUUGUGCAGGAGGUGCGAUCGAGACCGCCAGUGCUUCUCCACGGCCCGGUAUAUCCAGUACCAGCACCAUGCACCAGGCCUCCAAUACGUCAGCCCAGUCCAACUCAGCCUGUUCCCGCUCCUCGCACUAGCCUUAAAGUGCGUGUCUCCAGUCUGGCAGCUCCACUACCAGCCCCACGCACCAGGCUUCCAGUGCGUCAGCUCAGUCUCGAGCUUCCGACAACAGUUUCCUGUCCAGAGUAUCCGGCAACAGUGUCCAGUCCAGAGUAUCAGGCAACAGCGUCCAGUCCGGAACCGAGUGAGUCUGGCUGCAGUCCGGAACCGAGUGAGUCUGCCUGCAGUCUGGAGCUAGAGUCGGUCUACAGUCCGGAGCCCCCAGAGACGCUCUGCAGCCCUGAGUAUUCUGCAGGGGUGGACAGGUUGGGUGGGGGUAGUAGACCGGAACCUGAGCCACCUCCAGUAUAGGUGGCUCCCCUCCCUUUAGUUUAGGGGGAUUUUUUUUGUUUUGGGGGGUGUCGUGUCUUUGGGGGUACCAUUAAACUGAAGAUAUGUUUAUCAAUUAGCUCCCUGUAAUUAUUAUCACGCAAUUACAUUGAUUAAUCGUUUAAUUGUAAUUAACUAGGAGAUCGGGGCACCAAGGAGAAUAUUCAGAUUACAAAGCUAUAAUUUUCCUAAUAUAACUUUCCU